AAGGAGCGAGAGCAGAGUCAGUUAGGGUUUGGGUUUUGGGACCGAAGACGAGGGCUUUUCUGGGUGCAAGAUGAGUUUCGACCCAAUUUUAUGGAAUCGAGGAUUUUGGGUGUUGGAUAUCUGAGGUCAAUUUGACCCUCUUUGCUCUGCUCUCUCUCUGUGAGUUUGGUCCAAUCAAGUAUCCGGUUCGACCUUACAGGAUCAAGAAUUUGGGGAUGAACUUAAUCGAGAUGUAGCACUAGGAUGAAGGCAUAACAACACUGAUUCAUCGGUUCCAAUUUUGUGUUCUAAGGAUCAAUUAAACGAAGCAUGGAAGAAGGUGAAAUCCAACACAGACUCCACUAUCCUACCCAAACAGAGAGCUCAGGCCAAG